GUAUUGAUUGCGUGUGACCGCAAAGAUAACAUUCUACACUGUAUCAAAUUUUGUGUGAAAACGUGAGCUCGUUUUGCAAAAAGGAGACCCACGCGGUGAUGCACAAAGGGGUGAGAUGGAUGUGUGAGGGCACUCGGGCGUGCACAACCUUUUGAAAGGUUAGCGACAGCCCUUGCACCCCCGUUUUACGAUAAUGAUCCUUCCGCAGGUUCACCUACGGAAA
rnacentral:misc_RNA from 1 species